GAGCUCACGGUUGUUUCUGAGGAGUUCAGGAAUCAGAUUGUACGUGAACUUGUGACUUUGCCUGCAAAUCGUUGGAGGGAGCAGUUAGACUAUUACGCUCGCUGCAGCCAGGCUCCUGGCUGUGGGGAACUCCUCUUUGACACUGACACUUGGAGCUUGCAGAUAAGGAAGACAGGGGCUCAGACAGCUACUGACUUUCCUCAUGCUAUCAGGAUAUGGUACAAAACUAAACCUGAAGGGCGAUCGGUUACAUGGACCUCAGACCAGAGUGGCAGGUAGGUUAUCCAAGCACUUCAAAGCCCUGUGCCUGUUAAUCUUGUACGCUGCGGGGAUGCUUUCAAACAUGAGACCGGCUCUGCAGAGAUGCUCCUGUGUCUUCUGUGACAUUACCCAAGUAGCCUCAAAUCCUUAGACCUACAGUGAAGCAGGCCAUGUGUUUAUACUGUGGGAUCUCCCAUAAACAACAGGGCCCUUUUUCCAUGCCAGGAGCCACCCGUUGCCAUGUCAACAUGGCAGGCUACAGUUCGAGCAGCUGCAUCUUUUGUUGUUUUAAUGAGUGGGGAAAAUUCUGCCAAACCAACGCAGCUUUGGGAAGGUACUGUACAUGUGUUCUUUGCUUAUUUAUGUAUUGCACACAUGUGGACCCAGGAACCCAAUAAACAGUAUUUUUCUAAACUUUAAA
rnacentral:lncRNA from 1 species